rnacentral:rRNA from 1 species
UACCAGACUCCUACGGGAGGCAGCAGUGGGGAAUAUUGCACAAUGGGGGAAACCCUGAUGCAGCGACGCCGCGUGAGCGAUGAAGUAUUUCGGUAUGUAAAGCUCUAUCAGCAGGGAAGAAAAUGACGGUACCUGACUAAGAAGCCCCGGCUAACUACGUGCCAGCAGCCGCGGUAAUACGUAGGGGGCAAGCGUUAUCCGGAUUUACUGGGUGUAAAGGGGGCGCAGACGGCGAUGCAAGCCAGGAGUGAAAGCCCGGGGCCCAACCCCGGGACUGCUCUUGGAACUGCGUGGCUGGAGUGCAGGAGGGGCAGGCGGAAUUCCUGGUGUAGCGGUGAAAUGCGUAGAUAUCAGGAGGAACACCGGUGGCGAAGGCGGCCUGCUGGACUGCAACUGACGUUGAGGCCCGAAAGCGUGGGGAGCAAACAGGAUUAGAUACCCUGGUAU